CUACGGGUGGCACCAGUGGGGAAUAUUGCACAAUGGAGGAAACUCUGAUGCAGCAACGCCGCGUGGAGGAUGACGCAUUUCGGUGUGUAAACUCCUUUUAUAUGUCAAGAAAAUGACGGUAGCAUAUGAAUAAGCACCGGCUAACUCCGUGCCAGCAGCCGCGGUAAUACGGAGGGUGCAAGCGUUACUCGGAAUCACUGGGCGUAAAGGACGCGUAGGCGGGCUUGUAAGUCAGGUGUGAAAUCCUACAGCUUAACUGUAGAACUGCACUUGAAACUACGAGCCUAGAGUAUGGGAGGGGGAGAUGGAAUUUGUGGUGUAGGGGUAAAAUCCAUAGAUAUCACUAGGAAUACCUAAAGCGAAGGCGAUCUCCUGGAACAUAACUGACGCUAAGGCGUGAAAGCGUGGGGAGCAAACAGGAUUAGAUACCCGCGUAGUC
rnacentral:rRNA from 1 species